GGCGGACGGGUGAGUAACGCGUAUGUAACCUACCCCAUACAGAGGUAUAACCCGGAGAAGGUCGGACUAAUACCUCAUAACACCAUGAGAGGGCAUCUGAUUAUGGUUAAAGUUCCGGCGGUAUGGGCUGGGCAUGCGUAACAUUAGCUAGUUGGUAGGGUAAAGGCCUACCAAGGCUACGAUGUUUAGGGGUCCUGAGAGGGUGGUCCCCCACACUGGUACUGAGACCUUGACAGACUCCUACGGGAGGCAGCAGUGAGGAAUAUUGGUCAAUGGGCGCAAGCCUGAACCAGCCAUCCCGCGUGCAGG
rnacentral:rRNA from 1 species